AGUGAACGCUGGCGGCGUGCUUAACACAUGCAAGUCGAACGAGCAAAGAGGAGCUUGCUUCUCUGAGCGAGUGGCGAACGGGUGAGUAACGCGUGAGGAACCUGCCUCAAAGAGGGGGACAACAGUUGGAAACGACUGCUAAUACCGCAUAAGCCCACAGGUCGGCAUCGACCAGAGGGAAAAGGAGCAAUCCGCUUUGAGAUGGCCUCGCGUCCGAUUAGCUAGUUGGUGAGGUAAUGGCCCACCAAGGCGACGAUCGGUAGCCGGACUGAGAGGUUGAACGGCCACAUUGGGACUGAGACACGGCCCAGACUCCUACGGGAGGCAGCAGUGGGGAAUAUUGCACAAUGGGGGAAACCCUGAUGCAGCGACGCCGCGUGGAGGAAGAAGGUCUUCGGAUUGUAAACUCCUGUUGUUGAGGAAGAUAAUGACGGUACUCAACAAGGAAGUGACGGCUAACUACGUGCCAGCAGCCGCAGUAA
rnacentral:rRNA from 1 species